GCGACAAUGACGCUGCUGUUAAGCAGCAAGGGGCGUGGCCGGCUGCAGGCGGGAACCUCCCAUCCCGUCCUGUCCUUGGUGAAAGUCAGCAGAAGGACCCACUCCUCUGCCCUUACUAGACUCUUCACUUUCUUCAAAAUGGGCCCUAGUCUUCGGUCUCUUCGAGGAACACAUGGACACCAACAUCUUAAAGAACACAGAAGCUACGGUCACAUUGAAUAACUGCCAAACUCACAGAUCAAGAACCUGAUGUAAUUGAGAAAAGAAAACAUAUCUGACUCCAAUUUAUUUAUUUCUAUUAUAUUUUAUUACACACUGUAGAGGAUACUCUGUUGAAAUUUUACCUGCUCAAUUUAGAGACAGUAUUAUAGAAACGUAUUUAUAGUAUAUCUUGUUAAGGUCACCAUGUCCCAAGCUGCCUGGGGAUGAAGUAUCCCCUAGACCACAACCAUUUCAGCUUAGU
rnacentral:lncRNA from 1 species